rnacentral:lncRNA from 1 species
GUUACUAUUCAUGUGUGUUUUUGAUGUGCUUACUGUUGAACAAAUAAAGUCUGAACACUUGUGUGAUGGCUGAUAAACUUUGGAAACUCUGCAGCUUUAAACGGGGAGUAGUAGAGAGAAAGGAGUCAGCAAUUAUAGUCGCCAUUUGGUGGGCCAUUUGGUUAGAGCGAAAUAAAAGAAUUUUUUAGAGUAAAAAGUUCACUUUAAGAUAGGUGUUGGUUGAUUUACGUUCGCAUAGAAUUUUGUGAUAGACUUAUUGUGUUUAGUUUUUUUUUUCUUUUUUU